GAGACAAGUGGAUCCCUGGAGACUGCUGACCCAACUAGUCCUAGCCAAGUGAACUCAAUAUAAAGACCAGGGAAGCCUCGAACUCACAGAGAUCCUCCUAUCUCUACCUGGCUCCCCUAAUUUCUUUCCAUUAAUGGCUAUGCCAAGAAAGAGGCUACGAGAGGCAAAAAGAUAGCUGAAGCAAAGGAACAGAGGACAAGAAAAACAUCAUAGAGGAAUCACACCAUAGGAAAAUAGAACAACAAUCACAAGGAUGUGACAUAGUGGAUGGAAGAGAUCAUGGUUAGAUAUCACUGUCUUACCUGUUGGCAAGCUGGCAGAUGUUGAAGGUGCCUCCCCACCAAGGGCCAGUGUAGCUCCCAGCUCACUCUCUGGGACUGGGCAAGGAAGAGACUGCACCGCCUGCCUUCUGUAUUCAGGACACUGUCUGCAGACAAUGUAUGGCUGACUGUGAGGAGAAGAAGCAGAGCUAUAGUUACAAAGGAACAGGCUCCAGGCAGACAUGCAGAUAUCAUCGUUACAUCAUCACCAUCCCCUAGCUCCAGGUGUUGGGCUUCUACCCUUCAAGACCUCUGCUCUACCUCUGCUCACCUGCAGCACCACUUCAGCAACUGUGAAGAAGGCAAUGAACCCCACUUUUCUGCCCAGCUCCUACUACAGGGAUGACACUACCCAUAACUCCCUGGAAUAGGAGUCUGAAAGUGAGGAUCUCAUCUACCACAAGAUAGCUGUUCUGUACUCAGCUACUUUUCCUGCUCAAUCCCUCACACCCCAUGCUCUAGGACACUCUACCUUGGACCACUUAGUACCUACUCAGUGGACAUGAACUCAUAGGCUCCAAGGCCAAGAAAAUUCAGGUUCAUGAGAGAAAACUACACUGCCAGUC
rnacentral:lncRNA from 1 species